rnacentral:rRNA from 1 species
GAUGAACGCUAGCGGCAGGCCUAAUACAUGCAAGUCGAACGGGAUCUGAGGAUAGCUUGCUAUCCGAUUUGAGAGUGGCGCACGGGUGCGUAACGCGUGAGCAACCUACCCAUAUCAGGGGGAUAGCCCGAAGAAAUUCGGAUUAACACCGCAUAACACAAUGAGUUGGCAUCAGCUUAUUGUUAAAUAUUUAUAGGAUAUGGAUGGGCUCGCGUGACAUUAGCUAGUUGGUAAGGUAACGGCUUACCAAGGCGACGAUGUCUAGGGGCUCUGAGAGGGGAAUCCCCCCAACGGGUAAUGAGACACGGACCAGACUCCUACGGGAGGCAGCAGUAAGGAAUAUUGGUCAAUGGAGGCAACUUUGAACCAGCCAUGCCGCGUGCAGGAUGACUGCCCUACGGGUUGUAAACUGCUUUUGUACGGGAAUAACCCCUAUUAUGUAUAAUAGGCUGAAUGUACCGUAAGAAUAAGGAUCGGCUAACUCCGUGCCAGCCGCCGCGGUAAUAC